ACAGUUCGGUCCAUAUCCGGUGUAAGCGUUAGAGUAUUGAGAAGAUUCUUUCAUUGUACGAGAGGACCUGAAAGAACGUACCACUAGUAUACCAGUUCUCGUUCCAACGGGAUACGCUGGGUAGCCAAGUACGGAGCGGAUAACUGCUGAAAGCAUCUAAGUAGGAAGCCCACUUCAAGAUGAGUACUCUCUUAAGAUCACGGUAAGACAAACCGGUUGAUAGGUAUCAGGUGAAAGAUUAGUAAUAGUUGAAGCUGAGAUAUACUAAUAGAUCG
rnacentral:rRNA from 16 species